GAUGAACGCUGGCGGCGUGCCUAAUACAUGCAAGUCGAGCGAACGGACGAGAAGCUUGCUUCUCUGAUGUUAGCGGCGGACGGGUGAGUAACACGUGGAUAACCUACCUAUAAGACUGGGAUAACUUCGGGAAACCGGAGCUAAUACCGGAUGAUAUUUUGAACCGCAUGGUGCAAAAGUGAAAGACGGUCUUGCUGUCACUUAUAGAUGGAUCCGCGCUGCAUUAGCUAGUUGGUAAGGUAACGGCUUACCAAGGCAACGAUGCAUAGCCGACCUGAGAGGGUGAUCGGCCACACUGGAACUGAGACACGGUCCAGACUCCUACGAGAGGCAGCAGUAGGGAAUAUUCCGCAAUGGGCGAAAGCCUGACGGAGCAACGCCGCGUGAGUGAUGAAGGUCUUCGGAUCGUAAAACUCUGUUAUUAGGGAAGAAAAUAUGUGUAAGUAACUGUGCACAUCUUGACGGUACCUAAUCAGAAAGCCACGGCUAACUACGUG
rnacentral:rRNA from 1 species